AUAACGCAUCUGGGGUGCCUAAGAGCUGAGAUUAUACCCAUUGAACCUGAUAUAGUUAGUACUAGCGCAGGGAAAUGUCGUGUCGUUUGU
rfam:Lactobacillus sakei strain 23K complete genome.